ensembl:lncRNA
ACACUCGCGGACUUGCAGCUGGCUGAGACAACUGUCAAUCCUCGCUUGAAAAACAGAGCUAGCACAAGUCGUAUGCUCUCAGAAGAAGUUUGAGAGACCAAUAAACAUUCCCUCCCUUGCUCACACCCAGAGAACAUCACUUCAGCACUUUCGUUUGAAACACCAAUGGUUUUUCAUACUGACUUUUUCUCAGUCCAUGACUCUCAAGAGGGCCUGGCCUGGGGAUGUGCCUGCCAUGGUCUCUCCCCCACGGUCCACCAGGGAAUGCAGAGCAACACAGAAGACUGAGCCUCAGGUGCCUAGUGCCUCAGGAUUCCUCUUCUGGACUGAUCAGACUCAGCCAAUCACUGGAAAGAGGCUCCUGUUGAAAAAGCUGCAGCCCUCUUCGGCUCCCUGACUGCACCUCUCCCCACCAUGCUGGGAGGUCAAGACGGAUGAGGGCGGGCGCCUCUCUGGAGCCAGGUCUAAUCAGAGAUACAGCUUCCAGAUGAAUCACCUUUGCAAGGCCUCCUUGCCAUGCCCCUUUGAAUUAAAAGAGCUCCCUCUACUAACAUAUUAAUUAAAAUGAAAUAUUAAUAAGCUGACCUCUAUUAUUUAUCAGCUGUUUGGGGAGAAAAGAAAAAUAUUGAGAUCCAAAGAGAAAUCAAUUUCCCCAAAACCGCCCUUCCCUGAGCAGACUGAUUCGUGUCACAUAAUAAAGAGAUAAGCUUAUCGGCUGCAUCAGUUCAAAGACGUGUGCUGUAAAUGUUGAUUUUGAACCAAUAAGAAGAUUAUAAGCACUGUCAUAAAAUAUCUUUCCGGGAUGUAAAUUAUUCAAAGCCCUCCGUGGGCAGACACAGUGUCUCAUGCCUCAGUGAUCCCCGUUCUCUGCAAUACAUUUCACUUAUUAAAGUCAGAGAGGGCCUCUGUUGAUAAAGCCCCCUAAAUAAAUGAUAACCUUCAUCUCCGUCUUCUAAAUUAUUUCCACGACUAGAAUUCGGAAUGUUUGUGCCAGAGGUGCCACAAAGUACGGCCUUCUUGAGUGGGGUAUGUCUUCAUUGGGAAGCUCGGUUCAGGUAAGGGCUGAACCCCUAGAUUCUUGGAGCUGGGCAGUGGCUACAGUAAUGCAUACAACCCUGGGGGCUCAUCUUCACAAGGAGGGAAGGGGUGAUGCAAGAUGCAAGGGACAAUAUGAUGAAAAGGCCUGGACCCCUAACCUGCCUCGCUAGUCAGGCUGAGUUGUUAUCCAACCUGAGUGAGUUGGACAACCAACUCCAAAAGUGAGUCUCUUGUUACAGGGAGGUGGGUAUAAUACGUGUGCCCACCAGGCACAGGGU